AGGCGGGAAUCCGAACUGAGGUGGAAGUGCGAGUCGGCAAUCCUGUCAGAGCGGGGGCGUUGGGCGGGAAUGGCGCGAAGCAGGGCUACGGGCCGACAGGUGUCCGCUCGGCUGCGACACGGAGCAGCAGGACGCGGAGCUGAGCGCGCGUUGUCUGUUCCCGCCGCCAAACUGCGGCGUUCCCCCAGUCAGCCAGAAGGCGGCGGGCGGCACCUGGCAGAAGGAGUAAUGCUGGGGUGAUUGACCCGAAAAGAAGAACGUCCUGUGGCUCUCUGAUAAUCCGGCGCUUACGGGAUGACAGAUUUUCCGUGCGAUCCGUAAAUUGGAAUAAGUCCAAAGGACACCACAGUGCUCUUGCCUGAGGAGCGGCACUGCGCCGUGCAUCCUUCUCAGGUUAUUGAGCUGAAUGAAGUCACAGAGGGGUCUAAUGAAUGCCAGAGCCUCUGAGAAGAAAAGAAUGGAAGCUGAAUCUUCUCAUUUCAUUAGCAGCAAGUCUCCAGAUGGUGUCAUGGUGUUUCAGAGACCAAAAGGAGGUGCUUUCAAAUACAGCCUUUAAUCUGGAGGAAAUAUAUGUCCAGUUUGUAGCCCUCAUCGCUUCUACAGUGGCUAAUGUUGCAGCUUCCAGACAGCCUCAGUCCCACUGUGAAACAUCUCAGAAAACACAACAUUUUGGAAGGACCCUGAGAACGACUAUGACAACAUUCUGCAAGAUGUGAAAUUUGGUAGACUGCCUGCUUCCAGGGACCCUCUCAGAACUCCUUGGUGGCAGCAGCCUACAGGAGGCCUUGUGGGACUAUCCCAUGGCGAUCUGACCUGGUUCUGGCUUUGUCCAAGUAAUUUUAGUCGCACUAACACUUUUGACCCCUGGUGUCAUUGAUAAGCUCCAGAGCACCGAGUGCCGGAUCGAAAAAGUUUUGAAAGAUCUACGGAAAACGAAAUGCUUACAGCCAUGUGAUUGAUAUUUAUUUGUUUUAAUUAUAAAUAUAGAAAAUACUCUGUCACUUUCUCUUUUCUGCAUUCUCAGUUGAAUAGAAGGAUUGUUACAUUUGUAGAGGAUUCAUUACACGUAUUAAACAUCAUCCUGAGAUGUAAAAUACAGCUCUGCUAUUUCAGUCUUCCUUGUUCAGCAGUUGAUUGAUUUUUGCCAUUUCCUCAGCUGUGCGAGGUGGAAGGAGAGGCACUGAGCA